CGGGGGCUAAUUUUAGUUGUCUAUUUCUCUUUCGAAUCAAUUUUUUUUUUUAACAGGGUCAAUUCAAACUACGCCAGACCGAAACUAUCCCAAUAUUUUGAAUUUGCUUACGACUUUUUUUGACAGCAAAACAAAUAUAAUACCAUUCGUAUGGAACCAUGUCCAAAAAAGUCGUAAGCAAAUUCAAAAUAUUGUAUUGGAAACCCUAUGGUUAGGCCUAAUGCACACAACAGAUAUAACUUGUAACUAGGUCUAACCAAGAAUCUAAAUAGAAAGCAAAAUACAGCAUUACAGAUGUCUUGAUAAAAUUAUUUGAUAAUUUUGCCAACUAGACUAGAGAUCGUCACAGGCUCCAUGAUGAACAAACUAAAUUUGAUGCCUUCUGCCUAGUACCCAUAAUUUGUGCCAUAGACGGAGCCGUAGCCUCCAGUAUGGCCAGCAUGUCCCUGAUUGGACGGGGGAGAAGCAUAGACAGAACCAUGAGCUGCAUAAGGAUUAUA
rnacentral:misc_RNA from 1 species